rnacentral:misc_RNA from 1 species
CUGAAAUAACAGCGCCCGUGUGCCUCUCGUUUCCCGCUUUGCUCCCACGAGCCUUCCUCGCUCUUCCUCUGCCGGCCGCCGCACUGCGGUUCCCGCCUCCGCCUCCCCCGGCCGCACCGUUGAGGCGCGUCAUCGCCGGCCACUCUGCUCUCCGCUCUCCUGUACGCAUCGGCUCUUGCCUGCCGCGCUGCCCAAGGUGUCUGCGCUGGAAUGGGCAACAGGCAGUCCUCGGUGCCCUUGGAGGGCGAAGGGCACCCGGAGGUGUUUUACCGCGGCGUGAAGGCCGCGCAAGAAGGCCGCUUCACCGUGUCGGAGGUGUACUUUGUGCAGGCGCUGACACGACACCCCGGGCGGCACUUCUGGGACACGUUCACAAAGGCGGUGCUGCAGAAGGAGCGCAGCGCUGGUUUCGAGGGCGGCGGCGCGUCGCUGCCGAAGGACGGUGUGCAGGAGGAUGUCGACGCAGGCCCGGCCGCUGACGGCUCGCUGGGCCCGUGCAACGAUGUGCAGCCGCAGACCGUGCUUGGGGGUAGUGUGCCGGACAAGGCAGACGAGCUGCCGGGCAGCGGUGACAGGGGCGAUGGCGGCGACUCUGCGGAGCAGGCGGACGCAAGGACGAACGGUGCACAGUCCGUGCACGACACCAAGGUAGUUGACGUCUUCCUGCCGCUUGACGGGGGCCUGACUGAUGUCAUGGACUACUAUCGGUUGCUCGCUGAUAUUGGGCACACGUACCUACAGCUGAUCCCCUCCACAGCACAUAUGGAGAAGGUCACCGGGCUCGCCGCGCGCUACUGCAUCUUCACCAUCACCCACACUCAGAUGCUGCUGCACUGCCUGACGCUGUGGAAGGAGGCCAAGCUCGGCGACGGUGGCGGCUUUAUCGACUACGCGAAGGUGCGCAACCUGAAGAUCUGCUCGGGCGUCGCGGAGCUCGCUGCGGAGCUGAACCCUGACUCGCACAGCUCCAAUAAAGGGAAGCAGAAGUGGCGCACGAUCGAUCGCACAGCGUCGCUGCUUUUCACUCUUCAGCUGCUGGAGGCGAACUGCCGCUACUACUGUCUUGUCUUUCUUGCCGACUACUGUGGUCUUUUGCUGCGGAGCUACAGUCGCCUGACGGAUCAGAGGAAGGUGAAUCGCGUUCACGCCAACAUUGUGGAGCACCUGGACAUGGUGAGCCGGCUGGUCUUGGGCCUCGCGGGGGAGUACCCGAACGAGUACCUGAGCCGGCUGAUCAUGGCGAGCCUGCCGAAGCCGUCGAACUUCGACCGCGAGUGUCUGAGCUCGAUGGGCGCCAGCUCCCACAUGAGUAGCCAGAAGAUUCUCUCCUUUGGCAACGAUCAGCACCGCCACCUGUACGCCUCCGGCUACCCGUGGUCGCCUACGGAGUCUGCGCUGAUUCCGCUGAUCCUGGCUCGCAAUGUUCGUCUGAAUGUUCAGGAGAACGUGAGCCGUCAUUCGCAGGCGCAGCUGCGCUCCCCCGCAGAGCGCAUGAGUUACCACUACACGAAGUGGAACUUCGCUAGUGACCUUGUGAUCUUACCCGGGUGUAACCUGUACAUGCUGAAGAAGUCGCUGCCGGGGUUUGUGCCCGGAAAGAGCACUUUUGCGCACUAUGCUACCAUGGCGGAGCAUGAGGAACUUCACCUGCCCGGGGCAGCUGCAGAUGCCCACUGGCAGAGGGGCAGUGCUGCGGUGCAUGUGCCAGGGGACGGCGGUGGCGCAGCGCACGGCUCACACCGGAACCCCCCGAUAUCGGAGGGCAGCGCUGGUGCUGAGAAGCGGGAGGCUCUUACGAAGAAGUGCGAGGAGAAGCUCAUCAAGAAACGGCGGUACAUCAAUUCAGACCUCCACCUCAGCGAUGAGCGUACGUGCGUCGCCCUUUGCUUGGAGGAGGCAUGCGCUACCGCUCUUCCCUCAGUGCUUCUCGCAUCGAUGCUACGGAAAAUGUCUGGUAUACCUGAGAGCGCCGAGUUCAUAAAUAAUGUGACUAACCUUGUGACCGGACUCUACGGCCCUGACUCCAGCGAGUGGCACAUCAUAGCAUCCAUCUUGCGCAAGCAUCUGGAGGGGUAAGGGGAGCGCGCUGUUACCUUGCCUCCUUGUGAUGAUGUGCUUCAGAAAACCAUGCGUGCAUUGGUGUAGCCUUGCUGACAUGGUUGCUGCUCGUUUCUCCUCGCGGCUGCAUGUAGUAAAACGCUGCGAUCGGUUUAGCGAUGACGCGUGCCGCAGGCGUGCUGCUGAGGCCGCCUACCGCUUUCUGUUUGUUGUUUUUCGUACGUUUUGCUUGCAUGUGUUUUCUUCCGUGCCUUGGGCGAUGUGAGCUGCUGCUCUGCCCCAUAGCGAUGCUGAGCCGGCGGUUUCCUGUUCCCUUUCGCUCUCCCAGUCUUCUCCGCCACUCGCUCUUUGAGCAUGUGCGCCUGCUCACUUGUACGCGAGCGCUUCCAGUCACACUCCCACGCGCCGCUGCUGAUGCUGGUGCUUCUGAUGCUGGAGCCGCCUACUCCCGGCUUCGCCUGAGGAUGCCGGCCACGGCGUGGUGGCACGAGGGCCGCGUGCCUGCUCUGUGGGGCCGCCGGGGGCCUGCGGCCUGGCCUUGGGUGCUGGCUGCGGACUGCCGGUGUGGGCGGGCAGAGGGCUGCGCUGGGGCUGCGCGCAUCCGGAGGCUGGGCGAGAGGAGCCCGCUAGGCGCGCGGCCCCGGCUCGACGGCAGGGCGCUGCGUCCUGGGCGAAGACUGCUGAGCCGUAUGCCUGCGAAGGUAGGCGAGCUGUGGUUGCAUGUGCGUGUAGGCCGGCGUGUUCAGGUAGAGGGGCACAUUGCGAAAAGGAAGAAUGGCGCUGUGCCUGCGCCUGUGUGUAAGCUCAUCUUAUCUCACGAUGUUGUUUUACUGUCCGCCAUAGCGUCGCGGAUGCGGCGGGUGAGAAUGUGUUUUGCGGCACCUAAUUAUUGAUUUCUCUUCAUCCUCACUUGGGCUGUACACAUAUGUGAUGCCCCUGUGCUCGCUAAGUGCGCCAGUUUGUGCUCGGCUCUUUGCCGUCGUCUUUUGUGUCUGUCAUACGCAUCUCUGCCGCCGCAGGGCACCACUAUGGCGGACGAAUCCUGGUGCAGCUGCGGCGGUUGUGGCUCCUGUCUCUUCUCGGCGAAGUUUGCUUUCCACGUUCUGCUCGUGGUUGUUCACCCAGAGUAGGCGGAAGGGAAGGACCAAGCACUGAUUCUUACCUCAUAUAGGCUUGAACUGCUUGGUGGACUGCUGCUUUUCUCCUUUUUUUUGCUGCGAUGUACUUUCUCGUUGCGGAGCGUGAGUGGCGCGACAUGAGCGGCUGUUGCCACGGGCCUCACCGUCUCCCUUCCCAUGCCAUGGCGGACCGAACUAAAGGAGAAGUUUUUUUGUUCUCUUCUGCUGGUGGCUGGGGUUGCUUUUUUGGUUACUGUCGCGUUGCGGGUACGUGUGGAUCAGUGUCGUUUGCGAAAAGCUCCGUUUCUGUGUGCGCACGAUGUCGUGAUUUGUAUUGUGUGCGCCUGUUAGAACUCUCCGCCUCAAACGUUUUUAGGUUCGACGAUGCUCGUGCUGAUGAACCGCCUUGUGUUUUUUCUAUAGCGCAGGGCUAUUGUCUCUCUUUUUGUGAUGGCGGCUGUUCUGCUUCGGCGCCCUCGGUCAGUGUGGUCGUGUCUAUGUCAAUCGCCAUGCGACAUAUGCACGAGUUGACCUGUAAACAAGCAAAUUGGUUAGAUGACAACACACCGACACACACGCACGAUUCCUUGGCUCUUUGUGCAGUGCGCGUCUUUUUAUCAUUGGCAUCCUUCUUUUUUUUUGUUGGAAGUUGGAAGAGUAUUAUUUUUCAUUUGACUUCGACGUGUUGGAAUGGCUAUAAAUGGUUCCUGCUCCCCUCUUCUCUUAACUACCUUUCCCCUUCCUCUCCAUGCAACCCUCCCUCGCCCCUCUUGUCGCUCACUGGAGUUUAACUGGUGGCGCGCAAGCGACUUAGGCUCCUUUUUUUUUUCGAUUUUUUCCCCCUAGUACUUUAGCCGAUCUCACCACCACUGUCGCAGUUGUCUUUUGCGUUUUGUUAUCAUUCGCCCUCAACUCUGUUUCCUCCCCCCGCACGCACAAGACUUUUCGAGCCGGACAUCUUAACGAUGGAAGCGUGGUGCAGCAGCUGCCCUCUGCUCAGGCAUGUGAUGGGUUUUGUUGCGUCAUGGGUAAUGGCCAUGAGUUCGAGGUAACCUAGACACAAAGAGGCAGAUAUACAGCGCACUGUGUCGUGUUUUCGUUUGUUUGCCCACGCAGCUCCUUGUUGUAACACCAAGCGCGACGGCGAGUCGAUACGAAAUGGUGUGUGCACGUGUCGAAUGCGCCGGAAAAGAACCGCUUCCGCCACAGGAAACAGGACCACCUAGCGCCUACACGCCUGCUCCAGCACGUCACCGCCCGCUGGUGAUGUGUGUUGUUUCCAAAUGUAUAUUCCGAAGCGUGCUCUGCGCUGUUGCUGAACUUUUUUUUUGGGAACGCUCGAGAGCUAAACGCGAG